UAAUUACCUUUUUGUAGGGGUGUUCAUAAAAAACCAAAAUGUGGUUAACCGAUUAAAAAACCAUAAUCACAUUUUGGUUAACCGGUUUAAUAAAACAAUUUUAAAAAUCAUAUCCAUAUUUUUUAGAAUUGGUUAACCAAAACCAAAUUAAAAAAA